UACGGAGGAUCCAAGCGUUAUCCGGAUUCAUUGGGUUUAAAGGGUGCGUAGGCGGACUGAUAAGUCAGUGGUGAAAUCCUGCAGCUUAACUGCAGAACUGCCAUUGAUACUGUCAAUCUUGAGUACAUUUGAUGAGGGCGGAAUGUGUCAUGUAGCGGUGAAAUGCUUAGAUAUGACACAGAACACCGAUUGCGAAGGCAGCUCUCAAAACUGUAACUGACGCUGAGGCACGAAAGCGUGGGUAUCAAACAGG
rnacentral:rRNA from 1 species